rnacentral:tRNA from 1 species
GGAAGGGUGGCCGAGUGGUUUAAGGCGUAGCAUCGGAAAUGCUAUGUAGAUUCUUAUCUACCGAGGGUUCGAAUCCCUCCCUUUCCU